UCGAAAUCGGUAGACGCUACGGACUCGAAAAUCCGUUGGCUUUUUAGACCGUGAGGGUUCAAGUCCCUCUACCCCCA
rnacentral:tRNA from 1 species